UACAGGGGGGGCAAGCGUUGUUCGGAAUUACUGGGCGUAAAGGGUUCGUAGGUGGCCAACUAAGUCAGACGUGAAAUCCCUCAGCUUAACUGGGGAACUGCGUCUGAUACUGGAUGGCUUGAGUGCAGGAGAGGAAUGCGGAAUUCCAGGUGUAGCGGUGAAAUGCGUAGAUAUCUGGAGGAACACCGGUGGCGAAGGCGGCAUUCUGGACUGUAACUGACACCGAGGAACGAAAGCCAGGGGAGCAAACGGG
rnacentral:rRNA from 1 species